CAUUAAUGGUGGAUUCAAUGAUUCGUUUACGUGAACCAGUUUGCGUCAGUCAGUUCGCCAAGAUGAGUCGUUCGCGAAUCGUUCGUUCGUUCGUUCGUUCAGUCCAGUUUCCGUUUCCGGUAGCGGUGAAUCGCAUCAUGGAAUGCACCCAUAGCAUGGUUCUCAGCUGAGUCAGUCAGACUCAGUGCUACCGGAAACUCGACUGAACAGGUUCAGUCGAGUUUCCGGUGAAUCGAAUGGUGAAUCAUGAUCAUGGAAUGUGUUUGUGCACGGUUCUGCUGACUCUGAGUCUGUCAGACUCAGACUCUCAAAGGAUCGUGGAACUUAAGUCGGUCAUCAGUUGCUGACUUUAUCCUGAAAGGAUGAGCCUUGCGGCGGUGGAAGGAUUGGAGGCAGUAUGAACGAUGUUAGUAAGGCCGUUGGCCUGAAUUUAUUCCGGUACAAAAAUGUCCAUCAGGAGGCAAAAAAAAUGAAUAAUGAAUAAACACAAAAAAAAACAAUCAAUAAUUCUAAAUAACUUUCAAUAAUCGAAACUUUCAAUAAUCGAAAAAACAACAGUCACUAAUCAGUCACACUAAUAAAGCCCUUGGCUGAUCUAAGAGCCAGGUGUUGUCACCCGCUCACCUCAGACCCUUCUGCCCCACCUACAUGAUUUGGACCUGAAUAUAUCCUACUUGGCCUGACCCAUUCCCCUCUUAAUUCAAUUAACCCUCCCCUACACAUUUCCGAUUUACCUAUCCCCACCCCUAGUUACCCACCUUACUCCAGACCUAUUCGUCUAAAACCCAUCCUUACCCUCUACUUCCCUGACACCUUAAAUAUUCCCCAAGUACCCCAACACACCCCUCUCCUCUCACACACUUGGUCUCGCCCGUCUGACGUCACCCCCACACCGCACAAAUGUUCUUCCGGACUUCCCGUCGGGUCCUCCCGCAUCCCCCGGCACCCGGAAGCCAGCGCAACCGUAACGUGGCGUCAUGAAAGUGUUUGAAUGUUCUGUGUGUGUUAAAUAAAAGGGUAC